CACCAAGCAACAGCCACACGCCACUCGCUUCACCAUCCAACAAAAGCUUCAGUUUAGUAGUAGGCGAGCAAAGGGGGAUUGCAUUGCACUGCAUUACCCCCUCUUUGUAGAAAUAUAUAUUUUUCAACUCAACUCAACUUUAGAAAAAAAAAAAAAAAAUUACUCGUAGAAGAAAUUAAUUUGACACGAGCAAUGGUUAAUUUUUUUUAUUUUAUUUUCAUUUCGUUCGAUUUGUAUUUGUAAAUCAGCUGUUUGCAAUAAAUAAAUCGACAUAAAGAGUGAUUGUAAAUAUUUUUACAAGCUGAUGUGGCAGUUUUUCAAGUUCUUAAUAGUUGGUGGCAUUUGAUGUUUUUUUUUUUUGUAAAGUGUUGGGAGAUUAUAAGUUGAAAGACCGAAUGACUAGGCUAGUUUAAGUUGUACGUAGAUGACAGAGUGAGGGGAGCGAACAAAGGCAUAACGUCGAGUUGAAGACGAACGAUUUUCAGGCUGGGUUGGCUGGAGACUAGAUGGCGCCCGGGAGCUUUCGAAAAGGAAAAUGAAUAUUUAAGAAUUAAAUCAAAGGGACAAUCCAAGAAUCAGCGAUUUACCACUAAAUGGCGCCCGGGAGAGAAUAUAAAGUUACAUCGUAUGUUAUUAAAACAGGUUUUGAUUGUUAAGUAUUAUUUUCAUUCAUGAGUAUUCAAACAUUUCAAUGAUAUAGAAGAUGCUGGACACCUUAAUUUAUAAAUGGCGCCCGGGAGAGUAUAUGAAAUUACAUUUUAUGUUAUCGAAAACAGGUUUUUAUUGCAAAGUAAGAUUUUCAUGAGUCUUCGAACACAAUUUCAAUGAUAUAGAAGACCCUGGUCACCUUUAAAAAAUUGUUGGAGGAACAAUCUUUGCUUUGAAUGCAGGCUAGUUUGUUUUCACUUAUCAUUUUCAAUUCUUAAAAGAUAUUAGUUUAAGCUAUUUGUAAAUGGCGCCCGAGAGAGGAAUCGAAAUCUAAGCUCUAGAAGACUGUUGGGGGAGACAAGCUUUGUCUGUACAUUAAUUUUUGUAUUCAUCACUUUUCAAACGCAAUUCGAACAAUAAAAAAGAUCCGAGGCUCAUUUAUUAUUAAAUGGCGCCCGGGAGAGGAU